UACUAAACAAAACGAGUAUAAAUAAGAUUACUGUCCCGGAUCGUAUACAGUUCUAAUAGCCCAGGAACAUUUUCAUGUAACGAGAACGUACUAUUCAGAGCAUUAUGAUUCCAACAUUUAUACGUGCGAUUAUAACCAGAUUAUCUUUCAUCAUAUUAUCACUCAUCGCUAUAUGGCGAGUGAAACACGUUCAAAAUGAUAAUCGUUUUUGGUUUCUGACAUUUCUCUGGUUGCCUCUCGUUGUGGAGAUGAUAAUAAAUUUAAAAGUGAGAAAGGGAAAAGACUACAAAUGGUUCUCACCGACUAUCCUGCUGGUUCUCAUCACCAUUAUACCGCCCAUCUGGAUAUUGGAACUGCACUCUCUUUAUGACUGCAAGAAAUUGGAUUCGUGGGACAGUGUGACAAAGAUGAUUUCUUUCAAUGACACCGUGCUCAAGCUAUACAGCAAUUCAGACUGAGAGGCUUGCCCAAGGAGAACGAUGGCAGUGGCCGACUGGGGAAUGGAGCCAACAGUCAAGUUACGAGCCCAGUCAUGCUCCACUGCAUCCCCCUUUCACUGUGAUGGAGUGCAUCUGAUCAAUCUUGGAAUCAGAUAAACGUAGAGUUAAGUGACCGAUCAGCAUGCAAUGAAUGCAUCUGCUAUUAAUUUUGGGGUGGAAUUUCCCUCUUUGGAAAUCUCCAUCCUGGGGUUCUAGUUUGUGUGCCAUUAUCUGAUAUAGCCUCAAAAUGUGCAUAUGGUGGUUGUUGUUGUCAGUGUACAGACAUGUACUUAAUUGGUUGACUCAAUAGAGGUCUGGAAUGAGCAGUCUUUCAAAAUACAUGAUGUUGCAUCUACUUCAGCAUUAGAUUAGACCGUUUAAAGUAAAUAAAUUGUUUGACGUGCAGUAUGAGGAAACUCAUCUUGUCAUCUUGUGCAAAUGCGGUAAUAAACAGCUCAGAAUUGUACUUGCCAUAGCCAUUAAGCCCUAGAAAUUCUUGCUUCUCUCUCUAAACGGGUGUUGGUUAGUGCUUGCUCAAAACAUUUCGUCACUGCCUUAGUAGUCUCAAUGCAUGUAGAAUUCUGUGUGCAUCAAACAACUGUGUUCUUUUCCCCUCUGGUUCUGAAGCAAGUCAAAGCACUGCAGCAUAAACUCUGUCCUGAUGACUGGAUUCUGGGGCUGCACCAAACAUUAAUCAUCCUGCUGAUUCUGGGGAAAUGGGUGCUGCCACAAGAGAACGACCUCACCAAGGACAAACUCCCCCAGCUUCUGCUAAUUUUCGUUGGUUUGGGUGCAGACAUCCUGGAGUUCACCAAUGAGACGCUCUCGGAU